UACGAAGGGGGGCUAGCGUUGCUCGGAAUCACUGGGCGUAAAGCGCACGUAGGCGGAUCUUUAAGUCAGGGGUGAAAUCCCAAGGCUCAACCUUGGAACUGCCUUUGAUACUGGGGAUCUCGAGUCCGGAAGAGGUUGGUGGAACUCCGAGUGUAGAGGUGAAAUUCGUAGAUAUUCGGAAGAACACCAGUGGCGAAGGCGGCCAACUGGUCCGGUACUGACGCUGAGGUGCGAAAGCGUGGGGAGCAAACAGG
rnacentral:rRNA from 1 species